GGGAUCCGGUGUGUCAGUGAGAUGGCUGUGCCCUUGGGCUGCUGUGUCCCAGGUUUCCUCAGUCUCUAACCCUUUGUUCUCACAGGGGAUGGACUCUUGCUUCUUUUCCCAACUCCACCAAGAGGGACCGUCCCAGGACGUCCUUCCCCGGGCAUCCGGCCCUACAGCUGCCUGAGGUCUCCAUCACCAUUGGUGCCAUCAGUCUGCUGUGCAGCCAGCUCUUGGUUUGGAGAGCCUGAAGAAUUGCAGUUCACGUCUCAUCUAAAGGAGCUGAAAUGAUAUUGCAGCUUUUUCUUUUGGUUGUGUGCGGUGAGAAUCUGGGAGCUGAACCUGUUAUCUGCACGGUCUUCAGAAAUCAGGCAAACUCGGAAAAUGCCAAUGCCAAAAAUGCUGAUGAGUGACAAAGUGUCACAGGUGUGAUGCAUUACAAAUCUCAGGACUUUUGCUCACUGGAUUUGAAAGGUCAAGCUUCACAGGAAAAUGAUGAAAUCCCAAAAGACCAGAAAUAUAUUUCAGAAGAUGCCAGUUAAUGCUUUAAAAUGUCAAACCAACAUUUCAGAAAUAACUUUCAAUGGAGGCAGGAAUGAUUAUUUCCUUCCAAGAAGGUGAACGCUGGAGACCUUCAUGGUGGAAGACGGAGGGCAUCUUUCCUUCCGUUAAGCUGACAACUUGGCUUCCAUCUUGUGAGGACCUCACCCUACCUGGCGGUGGAGGAUAUCUGACGCCCUCAAUCAUUGCCAUUACACUUCCCAGCCUGGUGGUCAGUCUCCUGGGGUCUGUGUGUUAACAAACCGUCGACUGGACAAUCGCAGUUUUCCUUACAAAGGCUUACUUUAAAAAGGCUCUGGAUUUUCAGAAGCGAAGUCGCUUUCAUCCCCGAUUCAGACCCAUCCUAGUGGAGGAAAAAUCCUACCAGAAGAAGGGCUGACCAUAGGAACUUGCCAUUUCCUUGACCCCAUCAUAUCUGAGGAAAAAACAACAGAAAAGGUCAAAACCCACGUGUACCCCCAACGUCCUGAUUGACGACUUUGCCUGCAGCUUCUGCUUUCCUGAAAUUCGCUGCUGCCUUUAGAACCCUUCUCUGCAGCCAGUGGGGAGUUCAGGACUUAGGCGGAGCUGCCCCACCCUCCUGCUUGGCACCCUGCAAACACAUGCCCUCCCUUCCAUCGCUGCAGACCUCAGAGUGGGCAUCCGGUCUCCCAUGCGGGAAGAGAAUACACGCCCUUCCUUCAAUCGCUGCAGACCUCACAGUGGACGUCCGGUCUCCUGUGUGGGAUGAGAAUACACUCCUUCCCUUCUAUCACUGCAGACCUCACAGUGGACGUCCGGUCUCCUGUGUGGGAUGAGAUACACUCCUUCCCUUCCAUCGCUGCAGACCUCACAGUGGACGUCCGGUCUCCUGUGUGGGAUGAGAAUACACUCCUUCCCUUCUAUCACUGCAGACCUCACAGUGGACGUCCAGUCUCCUGUGUGGGAUGAGAUACACUCCUUCCCUUCCAUCGCUGCAGACCUCACAGUGGACGUCCGGUCUCCUGUGUGGGAUGAGAAUACACGCCCUCCCUUCCAUCACUGCAGACCUCAGAGUGGACGUCCGGUCUCCCGUGCGGGAUGAGAUACACUCCUUCCCUUCUAUCACUGCAGACCUCACAGUGGACGUCCGGUCUCCUGUGUGGGAUGAGAUACACUCCUUCCCUUCCAUCGCUGCAGACCUCACAGUGGACGUCCGGUCUCCUGUGCGGGCCAAGUGUACACAGUUUUGUUCCAUCACAAUUUCCAUGUCAGGCCAGUGUGAGGUUUUUGAGCUGGUGCUGACUGAAAACUGUCAGCUGCCCAAGGACCUGGGAGCUCUGCUCCCCACUCCUGGUGUGCGGCCUUGUACCUGGCCUCCCUGCCUAGGUUACAUGCAGUGGUCAUCCCGGUCACUCCCACACCCCUGUGGGCUCUGGGAUCCUCCCUUCCAGCCAGUCCAGGGGACAUCUGGCUGUCUCAGGACCUGGCCAUCUGUAAAAAUUAGGCAGGUCCCUUUAGUAUGCUCCUGGUCAACAAAGAAAAACUUCAAUUUUGAGAAUGGCGUCUGUAUUCCGAAGUGUUCUCUCAGAUGUUUGAGUUCCACUAAGUAGAUUUUCUUAGUCUGCUUUAUCAAUGACACAGAGAGACGUGCAUUAAAACCUCAACCAUGUUGAUCUAUUUCUUUUCAGUUAAUUUUGCUUCAUGUAUCUUGAAGCUCUGUUAUCAGGUGCAUGCACGUUUGAGAUUGUUAUGCUUUCCUGAUGAACUGACCUUCUUUCAUUAUGAAAGGGGAAGAAGAUGCUGCAUACAGGAUGGGAUAUCCAGGGGAAGAUUUCUAAGGAGAGACGCCCAGCUGGAAGUCAAAAUGUGUCAGUUGUUUGCAUUAUAAUAAAACCACUCAUGUUAGAUGAGCUGAACUUUCCCUUUUCCCCAGUUCUUAUGAUCAAAAAGUGGCUGUCCUAAAUUUCAUCACUUAAUAUCCUUGCUAGAGUCUUCCUUUGUCAGCCAGGCUGGAGUGCAAUGGCGCAAUCUGGGCUCACUGCAACCUCUGUCUCCCGGGCUCAAGCAAUUCUUCUGCCUCAGCCUCCUGAGUAGCUGGGAUUAUAGGGCGCUGGGUGCCCUUCCAGGGUGACCUCGCGGGUGCCCACUGCAGUUCCUGCUUCUCCCCAUGGGAACUGAGCGUGCCGCUGGGAACACAGCACUCACUGUGCACAGCUCUGCACAUGUACUUAUGUGGACACCACCCGCUUGCAUUCAUUCUCUCCUCCUCAUCUCUCCCUUGCUGAGAGGCAGCGAGCCUGCCGAACGCUUCGUGCUGUUUCUGCAAUGCUCACGUGCGGUCACACAGUUAGACGGCCGGCCACAUGACGGAUGGAUGACAAGACGCAGUGCAGACUGGGCGUGGCUGACCACCACACGUGCCCCUGGAGCCAUGGGCCGCCGGCUUCAUUUCCAGGGCAGUGUUACAAUCAAAAGAAUGAACAUAGAGUGAUUUAAAGUCCAACCCCUUCCCUGUGUUUUCUGCACAGCUUGGAGGCCGCGCCCAGGUCCUGGACGCUCCUGGUGACUUUUCCUCUUUGCCCUUUGCUCUCCUGCUUGGAGCUCCAUGCUGCUCCCUCCUGUUGUACUGAACCUGGCCCUCGUCGCCCCUGACGAGGGAAGUCCCUGUCCUCUCACGGCUUCCUUUUUAUCCCCAUCCCUCAGACUCUUCCUAAUAAUUAUACAAUACUAAUUCCAAACGGAAACUGGAGGCACGGAGCCUAUGCCGGCGUCUCCAGCUUCUCCAGAGGUAGGAAUGGACACUCAGGUCUCCACUGCAUACUGAUGGAUUUGGGAGAGCGUGAUCCAUCCAAGCCAUGCGAAAAUCUGCACGACUGAGUCAUGGGACAGUGGAGCUUCGUGAUAUCGCGUGCUUUUAAAUCCGAAAGGACAGUCAUGAUUUAAGGAUUUGAAAGUCACACAUUUAACAUCUGGAUUCACAGUCGUAGGUCUUAAACCAUGAUAGCUCGUGCUUCUGAGGGGCACUGAAUUCAUGCGUGGCUUUCCUAGACUUUAUCCCAUGGAACCUUCAUGCGUCAGGCUAUGUAGAGCCCUGAAUCUCAAAGGGAGAGCUUGGUCCCAGCAAGUCUCAUUAUUUUGUAUUAUAUUUUAAUAGUUUAUUUUCCCUCUUGCUUCUUCA
rnacentral:antisense_RNA from 1 species